rnacentral:lncRNA from 1 species
ACCACGUGGAGAUGCAGGGAGAGGAUAGCAGCUACAGGCCAGGGCGAGAGGCCUCAGAGGAAACCAGUCCUGCUGACUCUUUGAACUCGGACUUCCAGCCUCCAGAACUGAACCACUGUCUUCCUUUAUCCCAGGAUGUCUGCAAGGAAGAAAAUGUCCUUUUUCUAGCAUUUAGAGGCCACCAACAUUGAAUAACCACACUGGGGUAGACACAGCGGCGAAGAGAUUCCUGCUGUUCCCAUCACAGCAGCCUUGGAGAUGAGAAGACAGAUGGAUCUGACCAGAAGUCUGGAGAACUUCGAGAAAAAAGGAGGAGGACACAAAAGGAAAUAACAAAAAAGAUGCAUCCGGAGCAACUAUGAGGAUGGUAAAUUGGUGUCUAAUUCUGAAAAUCAUAAUUGGUAUAAAUGCUAUGUACUGUGGAAGGAGGGAUGAAGGGUAGAGGGAAUAAAAAAGAACAUGAAGUUAGAAUCCUUGGCAUGAAAGCCUGCCAUUUAUACAAGCAAACAAACAAGAUCAGGGACUAUCAACUGGCUGGCUGAAUUGGACCAAUAGGCAGGUUUAUUCAGCCCCACACUUCAAAAAUUAGGAGAUCUCCAAAUUAAAAUCUGGGAAUCUGACCUUUUGUAACAAAUCAGAGGAUUUGCAACACCAAGAGCAUCAUCACAGGCAACGACCAGCUUGGAUGGGCAGCGGCUGCCCCUGCAGGUGGGUCAGGUGCUCUUCCGUUGGACACAGUCUCCACCACUCCCUGUCGCUUGCUCCUUGCUCCCCAUCAGCAUAACUGUUUGGGCCUUAUAGCAUAUGCAUUUAUCACUCCCUACUAGGACGUCCACAACAUGAAAUGAGAGAACGAUUUGGUAAGUUCAACAAAAGGCAUAUUAUGCAGCCACCAUACAUUCUUUGUGGAAAGAGAAGUGGCAUAA